rnacentral:rRNA from 1 species
AUGAACGCUGGCGGCGUGCCUCAUACAUGCAAGUCGAGCGAACAGAUGAGGAGCUUGCUCCUCUGACGUUAGCGGCGGACGGGUGAGUAACACGUGGAUAACCUACCUAUAAGACUGGGAUAACUUCGGGAAACCGGAGCUAAUACCGGAUAAUAUAUUGAACCGUAUGGUUCAAUAGUGAAAGACGGUUUUGCUGUCACUUAUAGAUGGAUCCGCGCCGCAUUAGCUAGUUGGUAAGGUAACGGCUUACCAAGGCAACGAUGCGUAGCCGACCUGAGAGGGUGAUCGGCCACACUGGAACUGAGACACGGUCCAGACUCCUACGGGAGGCAGCAGUAGGGAAUCUUCCGCAAUGGGCGAAAGCCUGACGGAGCAACGCCGCGUGAGUGAUGAAGGUCUUCGGAUCGUAAAACUCUGUUAUUAGGGAAGAACAAAUGUGUAAGUAACUAUGCACGUCUUGACGGUACCUAAUCAGAAAGCCACGGCUAACUACGUG